GGCUUUUGUUGCCAGUUCUGAUUAAACUCACCCUAAUGCUAUAUGUGGGUCAUAUAAAUCUGCUUCAGUCCAGUAGGUAAAAAUGUCCAAGUCACUGCUUCUCCUUCUUGUUUAAUUAUUUCACAGGUUUGAUUUCACAUUGUCUCUCUCUUCGUAGGAAAUGACCAAGAUAAACACUGUCUUUGAUGGAGAAGCCAGAGACCCAGUCAGUGGCAAAAUGUAUGAAUACAAUUCAAAAUCUGGGGCCCGAAGAUGGAAAGAUACAAAGGAAUCAAUGGAGCCAGGAAUAAUGGAUCCACUUGCACAGGAAAUGACCAAGAUAAACCCUGUCUUUGAUGGAGAAGCCAGAGAUCCAGUCACUGGCAAAAUGUAUGAAUACAAUUCAAAAUCUGGGGCCCGAAGAUGGAAAGAUAUAAAGGAAUCAAUGGAGCCAGGAAUAAAGGAUCCACUUGCACAGCAUGGUUCGGAGAUACCCACAGGUACACCUGUCACUGAUAAAGCAACUUCAAAAUCUUCAUCACUCACAGAAAUGAAUUGCAUUAUACUUAUUAUAAGAAGACAGCCUGAACUUCUCAGUCUGCCCUUAUUGGCAUUCCUAUGGUGCUCAUCACUAUAGUUUCUGAAUGUCCCACACAUCACCUUUGGAAGAUAGGGAAUCAUUAUCCCCCUUUUACAGAUGGAGAAACUGAGGCACAAAUAGCUCCUAACAUCACUCAGAAAGCCUGUGGCAAAGCUGGGGGUAAAAAUCAGCUCUCCUGGUGCCUAGUCCUGUGCCUGAACCACAUGACUCCUCCAUUCUAGGGAGAAAAUUGUCAAAAAUUAUGCUUGCAACAGUAACACAGAUGACAUCAAGCUCUCUUGCUUACCACCCCCACUAAUAGAACCAUCAUGCAAAUAGCUCAUUGCCUAGAUCAGCAACUGCAUGAAAAGCAGCAGACUGAAACUCGGCUUGAGCGAGACAGAAUUGUGUUGGUGGGACGCCAUAAAUGUUUUGAAGGUUUAGUCACUGAAACAGCAGCUCCCCUACAAUCUAUGGCUCCCGGGACUCCUCCUACCAUCUGAGGUUGGCUUGAGGUUUGGCCCUAUAUUGCUGGGCUGCGACUUGGGCACAGUGGAAGACAUGCUUUUGAGAGUCCCAUGCAGCUCACUGUAUGUGGGAACGAGUGAACUGACCGUAACGCUCCAACUGCUUUAGAACACAACAUCCUUAGCCACCAUGGUUGGUGAACAUACCUCAUCCCAGUACUCUGCUCACUACACUGGCUCCACAUAGAGAACUCCAUAUACACUUCAACUUGGUCCUCAUCUUUAAGGACUUCCAUGACCAUGGACCAAGCCACAUAAAAAUGCCUCUUGCUCAGGAAACCCAAGUUCCUUCAGGAGCUAAGUUUCACUGGGACUAUGAAAGUGUCAACGUCAUGCUAAGGGGACAGAGCUUUUUCCAGCACCUGGCCCAGUGCUAUGGAACUCUUUCCCUGUUAGGAGGAGUUGAGAAUGACCAUGAGUCUCCUCACUUUCAGGAAAAAAAUGGAAAAUCCAAUUCUUUAGCCUAGCUUUGCCACAGCAAAAGUUCUAAGGCUAAGGCAGUAGGAUGAAGACAAGAGGUAUACACCUUAAAAAUAUACAAUACACUAUGUAAUAAAGCUUCUAGCCACAUUUUGGGGAGGAGGAAG
ensembl:lncRNA